rnacentral:rRNA from 1 species
AGGGAUUGCCUCAGUAACGGCGAGUGAAGCGGCAAAAGCUCAAAUUUGAAAUCUAGCACCUUCGGUGUUCGAGUUGUAAUUUGAAGAUGGUAACCUUGGGUUUGGCUCUUGUCUAUGUUCCUUGGAACAGGACGUCAUAGAGGGUGAGAAUCCCGUCUGAUGAGAUGCCCAUUCCUAUGUAAGGUGCUAUCGAAGAGUCGAGUUGUUUGGGAAUGCAGCUCUAAGUGGGUGGUAAAUUCCAUCUAAAGCUAAAUAUUGGCGAGAGACCGAUAGCGAACAAGUACAGUGAUGGAAAGAUGAAAAGAACUUUGAAAAGAGAGUGAAAAAGUACGUGAAAUUGUUGAAAGGGAAGGGCAUUAGAUCAGACUUGGUGUUUUACGAUUAUCUUCUCUUCUUGAGUUGUGCACUCGUAUUUCACUGGGCCAGCAUCGAUUCGGAUGGCAAGAUAAUGGCAGUUGAAUGUGGCUUCACUUCGGUGGAGUGUUAUAGCUUCUGCUGAUAUUGCCUGUCUGGAUCGAGGGCUGCGUCUUUUGACUAGGAUGCUGGCGUAAUGAUCUAAUGCCGCCCGUCUU